rnacentral:rRNA from 1 species
AGCGGCAGNNUAAUACAUGCAAGUCGAGCGGAGCCUUCGGGUUUAGCGGCGCACGGGUGAGUAACGCGUACACAAUCUACCUCUGACUGGGGAAUAGCCUCGGGAAACUGGGAGUAAUACCCCAUAGUAUAGUAAAGCCGCAUGGUUUAACUAUUAAAGUUCUGACGGUCAGAGAUGAGUGUGCGUCUGAUUAGCUUGUUGGUGAGGUAACGGCUCACCAAGGCGAUGAUCAGUAAGGGGCGUGAGAGCGUGGCCCCUCACAUGGACACUGAGACACGGGUCCAACUCCUACGGGAGGCAGCAGUAAGGAAUAUUGGUCAAUGGGCGAAAGCCUGAACCAGCCAUGCCGCGUGGAGGAUGAAGGCGUUUUGCGUUGUAAACUUCUUUGGUCGGAGACGAAACCCUUCCCUGCGGGGGAGGCCGACGCUAUCCGAAGAACAAGCACCGGCUAACUCCGUGCCAGCAGCCGCGGUAAUACGGAGGGUGCAAGCGUUAUCCGGAUUUACUGGGUUUAAAGGGAGCGCAGGCGGUCUUGUAAGUCAGAGGUGAAAGCCCGGCGCUCAACGUCGGAACUGCCUCUGAUACUGCAUGACUUGAGUACGAAUGAGGUAGGCGGAAUGCGUCAUGUAGCGGUGAAAUGCAUAGAGAUGACGUAGAACACCGAUUGCGAAGGCAGCUUACUAAUUCGGCACUGACGCUGAGGCUCGAAAGCGUGGGUAGCGAACAGGAUUAGAUACCCUGGUAGUCCACGCCCUAAACGAUGCUAACUCGUUAUUUGCCCUUCGGGGUGAGUGACCAAGGGAAACCGAUAAGUUAG